AGAGUUUGAUCCUGGCUCAGGAUGAACGCUGGCGGCGUGCCUAACACAUGCAAGUCGAACGAGAAACUAACUUCUGAUUCCUUCGGGAUGAUGAAGUUAGCAGAAAGUGGCGAACGGGUGAGUAACGCGUGGGUAAUCUACCCUGUUAAGUGGGGGAUAACCCUCCGAAAGGAGGGCUAAUACCGCAUAAUAUCUUCUCCUCUUAAAGAGGUAAAGAUUAAAGAUGGCCUCUAUACUAUGCUAUCGCUUCAGGAUGAGCCUGCGUCCUAUUAGUUAGUUGGUGGGGUAAUGGCCUACCAAGACUACAAUGGGUAGCCGGUCUGAGAGGAUGUACGGCCACACUGGGACUGAGAUACGGCCCAGACUCCUACGGGAGGCAGCAGUGGGGAAUAUUGCGCAAUGGGGGAAACCCUGACGCAGCGACGCCGCGUGGAUGAUGAAGGCCUUUGGGUUGUAAAAUCCUGUUCUGGGGGAAGAAACCUUAAGGGUCCAAUAAACCCUUAAGCUGACGGUACCCCAAGAGAAAGCUCCGGCUAAUUAUGUGCCAGCAGCCGCGGUAAUACAUAAGGAGCAAGCGUUAUUCGGAAUUACUGGGCGUAAAGGGCGUGUAGGCGGUCGAUUUAGUCAGCUGUUAAAUUCCUCAGCCCAACUGAGGACCAGCGGUUGAUACUGAUCGACUAGAGCGUAGGAGAGAGAAGUGGAAUUAUUGGAGUAGCGGUAAAAUGCGUAGAUCUCAAUAGGAACACCGAUUGCGAAGGCAGCUUCUUGGCCUGUCGCUGACGCUAAAGCGCGAAAGCGUGGGGAGCAAACAGGAUUAGAUACCCUGGUAG
rnacentral:rRNA from 1 species